UACGUAGGGGGCGAGCGUUGUCCGGAAUCAUUGGGCGUAAAGCGCGUGUAGGCGGCUCGAUAAGUCCGGUGUGAACCUUGGGGCUCAACCCCAAGCCUGCACUGGAUACUGCCGAGCUAGAGUCCGGGAGGGGAGAGCGGAAUCCUAGUGUAGCGGUGAAAUGCGCAGAUAUUAGGAAGAACACCGGUGGCGAAGGCGGCUCUCUGGAACGGUACUGACGCUGAGACGCGAAAGCGUGGGGA
rnacentral:rRNA from 1 species